CGGACGGGUGAGUAACACGUGGAUAACCUACCUAUAAGACUGGGAUAACUUCGGGAAACCGGAGCUAAUACCGGAUAAUAUAUUGAACCGCAUGGUUCAAUAGUGAAAGACGGUUUUGCUGUCACUUAUAGAUGGAUCCGCGCCGCAUUAGCUAGUUGGUAAGGUAACGGCUUACCAAGGCAACGAUGCGUAGCCGACCUGAGAGGGUGAUCGGCCACACUGGAACUGAGACACGGUCCAU
rnacentral:rRNA from 1 species